GGGGAAUUUUCCGCAAUGGGCGAAAGCCUGACGGAGCAAUACCGCGUGAGGGAGGAAGGCUCUUGGGUUGUAAACCUCUUUUCUCAGGGAAGAAUAAUGACGGUACCUGAGGAAUAAGCAUCGGCUAACUCCGUGCCAGCAGCCGCGGUAAUACGGAGGAUGCAAGCGUUAUCCGGAAUGAUUGGGCGUAAAGCGUCCGCAGGUGGCAAUGUAAGUCUGCUGUCAAAGCGUCUGGCUCAACCAGAUAAAGGCAGUGGAAACUACAUAGCUAGAGUAAGGUAGGGGUAGAGGGAAUUCCUGGUGUAGCGGUGAAAUGCGUAGAGAUCAGGAAGAACACCGGUGGCGAAAGCGCUCUGCUGGACCUUAACUGACACUGAGGGACGAAAGCUAGGGGAGCGAAUGGGAUUAGAUACCCCAGUAGUCCUAGCCGUAAACGAUGGAUACUAGGCGUUGCCCGUAUCGACCCGGGCAGUGUCGUAGCUAACGCGUUAAGUAUCCCGCCUGGGGAGUACGCAGGCAACUGUGAAACUCAAAGGAAUUGACGGGGGCCCGCACAAGCGGUGGAGUAUGUGGUUUAAUUCGAUGCAACGCGAAGAACCUUACCAGGGCUUGACAUGUCCGGGAUCCUCUUGAAAGGGAGGAGUGCCUUCGGGAGCCGGAACACAGGUGGUGCAUGGCUGUCGUCAGCUCGUGUCGUGAGAUGUUGGGUUAAGUCCCGCAACGAGCGCAACCCUCGUUCUUAGUUGCCAUCAUUAAGUUGGGAACUCUAAGGAGACUGCCGGUGACAAACCGGAGGAAGGUGGGGAUGACGUCAAGUCAGCAUGCCCCUUACGCCCUGGGCUACACACGUACUACAAUGCUAUGGACAAAGGGCAGCAAGCCAGCGAUGGCAAGCAAAUCUCGUAAACCAUGGCUCAGUUCAGAUCGCAGGCUGCAACUCGCCUGCGUGAAGUCGGAAUCGCUAGUAAUUGCAGGUCAGCAUACUGCAGUGAAUUCGUUCCCGGGCCUUGUACACACCGCCCGUCACACCAUGGAAGCUGGUCACGCCCGAAGUCGUUACCCUAACCUUUCGAGGAGGGGGACGCCGAAGGUAGGACUGGUGACUGGGGUGAAGUCGUAACAAGGUAGCCGUACCGGAAGGUGUGGCUGGAUCACCUCCUU
rnacentral:rRNA from 1 species